AGAGCGAACGCUGGCGGCAGGCCUAACACAUGCAAGUCGAGCGGCCGUAGCAAUACGGCAGCGGCAGACGGGAUAGUAACACGUGGGAACGCGCCCUUCGGUUCGGAAUAACUCAGGGAAACUUGAGCUAAUACCGGAUACGCCCUUACGGGGAAAGAUUUAUUGCCGAAGGAACGGCCCGCGUCCGAUUAGCUAGUUGGUGAGGUAAUGGCUCACCAAGGCUCCGAUCGGUAGCUGGUCUGAGAGGAUGACCAGCAUCACUGGGACUGAGACACGGCCCAGACUCCUACGGGAGGCAGCAGUGGGGAAUAUUGGACAAUGGGCGCAAGCCUGAUCCAGCCAUGCCGCGUGGAUGAUGAAGGCCUUAGGGUUGUAAAGUCCUUUUAACGGGGAAGAUAAUGACGGUACCCGUAGAAUAAGCCCGGCUAACUUCGUGCCAGCAGCCGC
rnacentral:rRNA from 1 species